rnacentral:rRNA from 1 species
CUCGAUUCGUUAGAACAACUUCCAUUGAGUCUCUGCACCUAUCCUUUUACUUUGUAUUCUAGUUCGAGAACCACUAUUUUCUCAAAACAUGGAUUUGGCUAAGGAUUGCCCUUUUUUAAUUCCAGGGUUUCUCUGAAUUUGGAAGUUACCACUUAG